CAUAGGCAUUCAGAAUCUGGUGAAAAAAUCUUCUAGGAGCAGCUAACAAGAAUCCUAAUACAGGAGUGUUUAUGGUUGGGUUGAGACACAUUCAGUAGCUGAGUGAUUGACAGCAAGAGGAGCAAGACAUGAGGUUAAUAAUUAUCAAAUAUAUGGCAAUGCUGGACUUUAGCUGAUCAUCGUGCUUCUGGAAAACAACAAAAAUUGAGAUAUCUGUUCACCACUUUGUGUGUCCAAGGACCACCUACUUUUUACAUGUGACAAGAACUACCCACCUCCACUCUUCAGGAUAGAACAUGCUGAAGAAAAGAGUUGCAAUGAGAAAAUAUAUGGGAACAAAAUACCUAUGCAAUGCAGAAGUCUGCAUAACUGAACCACUCAGAGGAAAAAGUUUCCCUCCCAGGCUGGAGUACAAUGGCGCGACCUCGGCUCACUGCAACUUCCACCUCCCAGUUCAAGCAAUUCUCCCACCUCAGCUUCCUUAGUAGCUGGGAUUACAAGUGCCUGACACCAGGCCAAGCUAUUUUUGUAUUUUUAGUAGAGACGGGGUUUCACCAUUUUGACCAGGCUGGUCUCAAACUCCUGACCUCAGUCCAUCGGUCCACCUCGGCCUCCCAAAGUGCUGGGAUUGCAGGCAUGAGCCACCGCUCCUGGCCUCAAGUUUAAUUCUUAAGUGAGUCAAUCAGUUAUAGUUCUGUUCAAAGCUUUCAGUGCACCUAAAAUUUCAUCCAACAUCUAUUAUCUUUCAUCAUAUGCUAAAACAGCUUGAAGAUGUAUAUGAUUUUAUAAAAAAUAAUCUAUAAAACAAAACAACCAAAUUAAGGGUUUACAUUUUAAAGCACCAAUAUUCACCUAUAGUUGGUGAAUGUACAGUUAGAAUGAAAAAAAAUAGAAUUUUGGUGAAUUCUGAAAUGGUUCCACCCUAUCCAAACAAGUUGUAUUAAUGCAUGUAUACAUUUCUUAAUAGAUAAAGUACUCGAAUUGCUACAAAUACAGAAGCUUACAAGUUUCCAGUGAGAAUAGGCUCUGUCAAAAACUUUGCUGUAUAUUGAUUAAUUUUGUUACUAUAAAACAAAAAGAUAUCUUUCAAUUGAAAAAUAUCAAAUGCAAAGUUUUGAAUUAUAAAAGCAGCUUCAAGCAAAUAAUAAUUUUUACCCAGCAUCAAAAUUUACAUAUUUAAAGGGCAUAAGCAAGCAUUGGGCACAGAUAAAGCAUUCUUUUCCCGGAGGAUCCCAAAACCAACAGACGGAGCAACAAAAACUCAUUUUCCUCCUAUAUUAACAUGUAUUUCAAUUUUGGAUUAAGAAGUUUUGACAAUGUGUGCAGAAACACAAUUCACAAAAGGAAACUAUUAUGGUUUUGGAGACUUUUUCUUUUAUAUACUGUUGAUUGCAUUGAGAAAAAAAUUAUUUAUGGGCUUCUCCCUAUUUUCAAGCCAGCCAGCUAUCCUAAAUUCAUAUGUUUUAUUUUAAAUUAUAACAAAUCAAGACCAUGAUAUUAUCGUCUGCUCCAGACAACAGCCUUUCCCUAGUUUAUACCAUUAACAUUUUAUUAAUGGUAUUUAUAUUUGGUAUUAGUAGGAGGUCAUUAUAAUUUUACAGGAAUGUCUAAUUGAGAUAAUUAAUUCACUCUUUUAUGUUAAUACUUUUCUACCUAGCAUCACAUAAGAUAAUGGAGGUGUGAUUUUUUUCAGUAAUUUUUGCUAGUUUAAUAAAUGACUUAAUCCUCCUCAUCCAUAUUCAUUUUGAAAUUAUACUUAGUAUUUUAAUAUAAAAGAAUAAGAUAGCAUAAUACUGAAUCUUCUAUGCAUUACAUUUCAUGAUUCUUUAAUAUUGUUUUGAUCAGAGAAUAAAGAAAAAUAUCUUCGACUAGUUUUGAUAUCCUGAAA
ensembl:lncRNA LINC01676 long intergenic non-protein coding RNA 1676